rnacentral:rRNA from 1 species
UUGAACGCUGGCGGCAUGCUUUACACAUGCAAGUCGAACGGUAGACCCUUUCGGGGGUUGAGAGUGGCGAACGGGUGAGUAAUGCAUCGGAACAUACCCAGUCGUGGGGGAUAACGUAGCGAAAGUUACGCUAAUACCGCAUGAGUCCUGAGGGAGAAAGCGGGGGAUCGCAAGACCUCGCGCGAUUGGAGUGGCCGAUGUCAGAUUAGCUAGUUGGUGGGGUAAAGGCCUACCAAGGCGACGAUCUGUAGCGGGUCUGAGAGGAUGAUCCGCCACACUGGGACUGAGACACGGCCCAGACUCCUACGGGAGGCAGCAGUGGGGAAUUUUGGACAAUGGGGGCAACCCUGAUCCAGCCAUGCCGCGUGAGUGAAGAAGGCCUUCGGGUUGUAAAGCUCUUUCAGACGGAAAGAAAACGCAUCGGUGAAUACCCGGUGUGGAUGACGGUACCGUAAGAAGAAGCACCGGCUAACUACGU